rnacentral:rRNA from 1 species
AGAGUUUGAUCCUGGCUCAGAGUGAACGCUGGCGGUAUGCUUAACACAUGCAAGUCGAACGAGAACGGUUCUUUCUUAGGAAAGAGUGUCAGCUAAGUGGCGAACGGGUGAGUAACACGUAGCUACCUGCCUUACAGACCGGGAUAACAGUUGGAAACGACUGCUAAUACCGGAUAUACCCUAAGGGGGAAAGAUUUAUCGCUGUGAGAUGGGGCUGCGGCGUAUCAGGUAGUUGGUGAGGUAAAGGCUCACCAAGCCGAUGACGCGUAACUGGUCUGAGAGGAUGGUCAGUCACACUGGAACUGAGACACGGUCCAGACUCCUACGGGAGGCAGCAGUGGGGAAUAUUGCACAAUGGGGGAAACCCUGAUGCAGCAAUACCGCGUGGAGGAAGAAGGAUUUCGGUCUGUAAACUCCUUUUAUAUCUGAAGAUAAUGACGGUAGGAUAUGAAUAAGCACCGGCUAACUCCGUGCCAGCAGCCGCGGUAAUACGGAGGGUGCAAACGU